rnacentral:rRNA from 1 species
AGAGUUUGAUCCUGGCUCAGAAUCAACGCUGGCGGCGUGCCUAACACAUGCAAGUCGAACGCGAAAGGGGCUUCGGCCCUGAGUAGAGUGGCGAACGGGUGAGUAACACGUGGGUGAUCUACCUCUGAGUGGGGGAUAACGUCCCGAAAGGGACGCUAAUACCGCAUGACGUCCUGGGUUUGAAUACCUGGAAACCAAAGUCGGGGACCGCAAGGCCUGACGCUUGGAGAGGAGCCCGCGCCUGAUUAGCUAGUUGGCGGGGUAAUGGCCCACCAAGGCAACGAUCAGUAGCCGGCCUGAGAGGGCGGACGGCCACACUGGGACUGAGACACGGCCCAGACUCCUACGGGAGGCAGCAGUGGGGAAUUGUUCGCAAUGGGCGCAAGCCUGACGACGCAACGCCGCGUGGAGGAUGAAGGUCUUCGGAUUGUAAACUCCUGUUGAUCGGGACGAAUGGGUUCCGGGGGAAUAUCCCGGGACAGUGACGGUACCGAUUGAGGAAGCCACGGCUAACUCUGUGCCAGCAGCCGCGGUAAUAC